rnacentral:tRNA from 1 species
GGAAUGCAGCUCAGUGGUAGAGCUCAUGCCUCACAUGUAUAAGGAACUGGGUUCAAUCCUCAGCACAACA